GGGGGUGUUCCAGUUUCGACUGCCGGCAGAGCAGGCUUGGGACUGCAGGCCAAGCGACAACUUGUAAAACUAUCAAAACAAUCAACUGCCAAGAAAGAAGACGAUUACGUCUCUGACGAAGCACUCGCUCUCGCUGCCUAAGCAGUGACUGAGCAACGGCGCCAAGGGUGCUGAUCCUAACCUGAGGCUGUCCGACACCAACAGGGUCUUGCCCAUCUGAAGCCGUCGGCUGAUGGGGACGCUUGGACGGCUACCCUUCCAGAGGCCUUGCGCCGCGGGCAAGAUGGAGGGGGAAACUGGAACGCGGGGCUAAGCUCUGUAGACGUCUCAGGAUGCCACGGUAGGACGGGAGUGCGAUUCUCCCCACCUCCAUC
rnacentral:tmRNA from 1 species